GAUGAACGCUAGCGGCAGGCUUAAUACAUGCAAGUCAAGGGGGUAGCAAUACAACCGGCGCACGGGUGAGUAACGCGUACACAACAUACCAUAUACUGGAGUAUAGCUUUGGGAAACUGAAGGUAAUCCUCCAUAACAUUGCGAGAGGGCAUCUGAUUGCAAUUAAAGUUCCGGCGGUAUAUGAUUGGUGUGCGUUUGAUUAGCUAGUUGGUAGGGUAACGGCCUACCAAGGCGACGAUCAAUAGCUGGCGUGAGAGCGCGACCAGCCACACUGGAACUGAGACACGGUCCAGACUCCUACGGGAGGCAGCAGUAGGGAAUAUUGGACAAUGGGCGAAAGCCUGAUCCAGCCAUGCCGCGUGAUAGAUGAAGGCCCUCUGGGUUGUAAAUAUCUUUUAUCUGGGAAGAAACUCCUCUAUUCUUAGAGGCCUGACGGUACCAGAGGAAUAAGCACCGGCUAACUCCGUGCCAGCAGCCG
rnacentral:rRNA from 1 species